rnacentral:rRNA from 1 species
AUAAGCUUUUAAGGGCAGAUGGUGGAUGCCUUGGAAGAGAGAGGCGAUGAAGGACGUACUAGACUGCGAUAAGCUACGGGGAGCUGUCAAGAAGCUUUGAUCCGUAGAUUUCCGAAUGGGACAACCCAACUAGCACUAGCUAGUUACCUUUAAUGGAGCGAACCCAGCGAAGUGAAACAUCUCAGUAGCUGGAGGAAAAGAAAUCAAAUGAGAUUCUCUUAGUAGCGGCGAGCGAACGGGGAAGAGGGCAAACCGAAUGCUUGCAUUCGGGGUUGAGGACUGCAACAUCCACUGAGAUCAUUUAGUAGAACAAUCUGGAAAGUUUGGCGACACAGGGUGAUAGCCCCGUAUACGAAAGAUGAUUUCUAGGUAGCAGGAUCCAGAGUAGGCCAGGACACGUGAAAUCCGGGCUGAAGCCGGGGAGACCACUCUCCAACCCUAAAUACUACUCUCUUACCGAUAGUGCACAAGUACCGUGAGGGAAAGGUGAAAAGAACCGCAGUGAGCGGAGUGAAAUAGAACCUGAAACCAUCUGCCUACAAUCAUUCAGAGCCCUAUGAUACAUCCCAUAAAGUUUUACUUUAUAGCGCGUAUCUCAAUAAUUAUAUCAUUGGAGUCUCCAUAAGAUCGUAAGGUUUUAUGGGGUGUAUCAGGGUGAUGGACUGCCUUUUGCAUAAUGAUCCUGCGAGUUGUGGUAUCUGGCAAGGUUAAACAAACGUGAAGCCGUAGCGAAAGCGAGUCUGAAAGGGCGCUUAGUCAGAUGCUGCAGACCCGAAGCUGAGUGAUCUAUCCAUGGCCAAGUUGAAGUAAGUGUAAUAGCUUAUGGAGGACUGAACUCGUACCCAUUGAAACGGGUUGGGAUGAGCUGUGGAUAGGGGUGAAAGGCCAAACAAACUCAGUGAUAGCUGGUUCUCUUCGAAAUAUAUUUAGGUAUAGCCUCAAGUGAUAGUAAUAGGGGGUAGAGCUCUGAUUGGGCUAGGGCUGCUCACCGCGGUACCAAACCCUGUCAAACUUCAAAUACCUAUUACCGUAUCUUGGGAGUCAGGCGGUGGGUGAUAAAAUCAAUCGUCAAGAGGGAAACAACCCAGACUACCAACUAAGGUCCCCAAGUUCUAUUCUAAGUGGAAAAAGAUGUGGAGUUACUCAGACAACCAGGAGGUUGGCUUAGAAGCAGCCAUCCUUUAAAGAAAGCGUAACAGCUCACUGGUCUAGUGAUUCUGCGCUGAAAAUAUAACGGGGCUAAGAUAGACACCGAAGUUGUAGAUUGUGCUUUGCACAGUGGUAGAAGAGCGUUCGUAUCUGCGUUGAAGGUAUACCGGUAAGGAGUGCUGGAGCGAUGCGAAGUGAGCAUGCAGGAAUGAGUAGCGAUAAAAUAUGUGAGAAUCAUAUUCGCCGUAAAUCUAAGGUUUCCUACGCUAUGCUCGUCAUCGUAGGGUUAGUCGGGUCCUAAGACAAGUCCGAAAGGGGUAGUCGAUGGAAAAUGGGUUAAUAUUCCCAUACCAACCAUUGUGUGCGAUGGGGGGACGCAUAGGGUUAAGUGCGCUAACUGAUGGAAUAGUUAGUUUAAGAGUGUAAGUUGGGAGAUAGGCAAAUCCACUCCUGUAUCACAAGCUCGAUGAGCUCUUUGAAGUCUUCGGAUGGAUAAGAGUGUCACUGAUACCGUCGUGCCAAGAAAAGCCUCUAAGUUUAGCAAUGGUUGCCCGUACCGCAAACCGACACAGGUAGAUGAGAUGAGUAUUCUAAGGCGCGUGAAAGAACUCUCUUUAAGGAACUCUGCAAACUAGCACCGUAAGUUCGCGAUAAGGUGUGCCUAUGAAAGUAGGUCUCAGCAAAGAGUCCCUCCCGACUGUUUACCAAAAACACAGCACUUUGCCAACUCGUAAGAGGAAGUAUAAGGUGUGACGCCUGCCCGGUGCUCGAAGGUUAAGAGGAUGAGUCAGUCAGCAAUGAUGAAGCUUUGAAUUGAAGCCCGAGUAAACGGCGGCCGUAACUAUAACGGUCCUAAGGUAGCGAAAUUCCUUGUCGGUUAAAUACCGACCUGCAUGAAUGGCGUAACGAGAUGGGAGCUGUCUCAAAGAGAGAUUCAGUGAAAUUGUAGUGGAGGUGAAAAUUCCUCCUACCCGCGGCAAGACGGAAAGACCCCGUGGACCUUUACUACAGCUUGGCACUGCCGAUGGGAGCAUUAUGCGCAGGAUAGGUGGGAGGCUUUGAAAUCUUCACUCCGGUGGAGAUGGAGCCAUCCUUGAGAUACCACCCUUAAUGUUUCUGUCUGCUAACUGGCUUGAGUUAUCCUCAAGCAGGACAAUGCCUGGUGGGUAGUUUGACUGGGGCGGUCGCCUCCUAAAAAGUAACGGAGGCUUGCAAAGGUUGGCUCAUUGCGGUUGGAAAUCGCAAGUUGAGUGUAAUGGCAUAAGCCAGCCUGACUGUAAGACAAACAAGUCGAGCAGAGACGAAAGUCGGUCAUAGUGAUCCGGUGGUUCUGUGUGGAAGGGCCAUCGCUCAAAGGAUAAAAGGUACCCCGGGGAUAACAGGCUGAUCUCCCCCAAGAGCUCACAUCGACGGGGAGGUUUGGCACCUCGAUGUCGGCUCAUCGCAUCCUGGGGCUGGAGCAGGUCCCAAGGGUAUGGCUGUUCGCCAUUUAAAGCGGUACGCGAGCUGGGUUCAGAACGUCGUGAGACAGUUCGGUCCCUAUCUGCCGUGGGCGUAGGAAAGUUGAGGAGAGCUGUCCCUAGUACGAGAGGACCGGGAUGGACAUGCCACUAGUGUACCAGUUGUUCUGCCAAGAGCAUCGCUGGGUAGCUACGCAUGGAUGUGAUAACCGCUGAAAGCAUCUAAGCGGGAAGCCAACUCCAAGAUAAACUUUCCCUAAGGUCGCAAGAAGACUACUUGCUUGAUAGGUUGGGUGUGUAAGUAUAGUAAUAUAUUUAGCUGACCAAUACUAAUUGACCGUUUGGCUUAUUUUU